CAUCGGGGCAGCUCGCGGGGCGGGGCGGGGGCCGCGGCCACCCGGCGGCGCGCCCCGAGCCGUGCAAGUUUGCAGGCCGGGGUGCGUGUGCGAGGGAGUGUGAGUGUGUGACGGGGGUAGGGGGGAGGAACAAAGAGCCAAGUAAACACGGCGAGUCCGUGUCGAGCAAAGCUCAUAAAUAUUCAAGUCGCGUCCUAAUCUCCCCAACACAUACACACACACGCGCGCGCGCGCGCACGCCGCAACACCGCCCGGGCUCCGGCCGCCGAACCGCUGCUCGCCCAGACAACAAUCGCCAAAACUACUUUUGCAAACUGUGCAGGAUUGCACCGGGGGGGUGGGGGCGGAGGGGGUGGGCGUACCCACUCACAUUCACACACACACAUACCGGGCAAGCGCACGCAGGGGGCCCUCUCCCGGGACCCUCGUCCUGCAGAUCCUGCCCGAGAAAGAGAAGACACUGGGUUCGGGUCCCACGUGCUCCCGAUCCCUCAAACUGUGCAGGACUGCACGAAACGGAGGGGGGCGGCGCAAAGAGGAAGCCCCAAAGGGAGUCCGUUCAUGUACACACUCCCCCCAUCCCUGGGGCAGCAGGCUUAAAGGAGGGGGCUUCUCCAGCUCUGCGCGCCCUGCGACGAAAAGGACGCCGGGCUCCGGACCCCGGACCCCGGACCCCCGGACCCCGAGUCCAGCAGCCCCCGACCGCCUACCUGGUGGCGCGCGAGUUCCACGGCGAGCGCCUCGGGCCGGCUCUGCAGCUCCAUCUCGGCAACUUGGGCAGCACUUUGCGCUCACUUUGGCCCCGGCUCCCGGGGAGUUGCGCGGCUCCGCGGGGUCGGGACGGACGCGGGCAGAUCGGGUCUCCCUGGAUGGUGAGGGGGAGCGCGGGGGGUGGACACGAGCCCCCUCCCCCACGGCCGAAAAGGGAGGGGGGCGUCUGGAGAGCGGAGGGGGGAGAGAAAGGCUGCCGCGCGCCCC
rnacentral:lncRNA from 1 species